CCUACGGGCGGCAGCAGUGGGGGAUAUUGCACAAUGGGGGAAACCCUGAUGCAGCGACGCCGCGUGGGUGAAGAAGUAUUUCGGUAUGUAAAGCCCUAUCAGCAGGGAAGAAAGAAGACGGUACCUGACUAAGAAGCCCCGGCUAACUACGUGCCAGCAGCCGCGGUAAUACGUAGGGGGCGAGCGUUAUCCGGAUUCACUGGGUGUAAAGGGAGCGUAGACGGCCGUGCAAGCCAGGAGUGAAAGCCCGGGGCCCAACCCCGGGACUGCUCUUGGAACUGUGCGGCUGGAGUGCGGGAGGGGCAGGCGGAAUUCCUGGUGUAGCGGUGAAAUGCGUAGAUAUCAGGAGGAACACCGGCGGCGAAGGCGGCCUGCUGGACCGCGACUGACGUUGAGGCUCGAAAGCGUGGGGAGCGAACAGGAUUAGAUACCUCUGUAGUC
rnacentral:rRNA from 1 species